GCAGGAACUCACAUCACGAUUUUCACUAACUGGCACGUUUAUUGGGCUGUCCAAGCCAAAUGCUAAUGAGCAGGAAAGAAAUGCAUGAAACCAAAGUUGAAGGAGAAUGGUCAGAUGUGGUUCCUCGGCAAAGAAAAGAUGUGAGCAACCAUCAGUGGGAAGGGAACAAACAGCCCAGGCUUGCUGGAAAGUGGAGACAACAAACACAACAAAAGCAAGAGCAACUUAUAAAACAUCUGCCUCUUUUCUGCUGACGGAGCUAUAACCAAGAUCUUGUUCAUUCUUUCGCUAUCUACAAUACAAACAACACAAA